GACGAACGCUGGCGGCGUGCCUAAUACAUGCAAGUAGAACGCUGAAGGAGGAGCUUGCUUCUCUGGAUGAGUUGCGAACGGGUGAGUAACGCGUAGGUAACCUGCCUGGUAGCGGGGGAUAACUAUUGGAAACGAUAGCUAAUACCGCAUAAGAGUAGAUGUUGCAUGACAUUUGCUUAAAAGAUGCAAUUGCAUCACUACCAGAUGGACCUGCGUUGUAUUAGCUAGUUGGUGGGGUAACGGCUCACCAAGGCGACGAUACAUAGCCGACCUGAGAGGGUGAUCGGCCACACUGGGACUGAGACACGGCCCAAACUCCUACGGGAGGCAGCAGUAGGGAAUCUUCGGCAAUGGACGGAAGUCUGACCGAGCAACGCCGCGUGAGUGAAGAAGGUUUUCGGAUCGUAAAGCUCUGUUGUAAGAGAAGAACGAGUGUGAGAGUGGAAAGUUCACACUGUGACGGUAUCUUACCAGAAAGGGACGGCUAACUACGUG
rnacentral:rRNA from 1 species